rnacentral:lncRNA from 1 species
ACGAUAAGUCUACUUAACAUCCAUUACCACACAGUUACAAAUUUUUUUUCUUGUCAUGAAAACUUUUAAGAUCUACUCUCUUACCAACUUUCAAAUAUGCAAUACAGUAUUAUUAACUAUAGUCACCAUGCUGUACAGUACAUUCUCAUGACUCACUUAUUUUAUAGCUGGAAAUUUGUACCUUUUGACACACUUCACCCAUAUUGCCCACCCCCCACCCCCAGCCUCUGGCAACCACCAAUCUGUACUCUGUAUCUAUUAACUCAGUUGUUUUUAUUUUUUAGAUUCCAAAUAUAAGUGAGAUCAUAUGGUAUUUGUGUUUCUCUGACUUAUUUCACUUAGCAUAGUUCCCUCAAGGUCCAUCCAUGUUGUAGCAAAUGGCAAGAUGUCAUUCCUUUUUAUGGCUGAGUAGUAUUCCUUUACAUAUAUAUACAUCUUCUUUUUUUUUUUUUUUUUUUGGAGGAAGAGUAGCCCUGAGCUAAUUACUGCCAAUGCUCCUCUUUUUGCUGAGGAAGACUGGCCCUGAGCUAACAUCCAUGCCCAUCUUCCUCUACUUUAUAUGUGGGACGCCUACCACAGCAUGGCUUUUGCCAGGCAGUGCCCUGUCUGCACCCAGGAUCCAAAGCAGCGAACCACAGGCCGCCGAGAAGCAGAAUGUGUGAACUUAACCGCUGCACCACCAGGCCAGCCCACACAUCUUCUUUAUCCAUUCAUCCAUUCUUGGGCACUUAGGUUAUUCCCAUGUCUUGGCUGUUGUAAAUAAUGCUACAAUGAACAUGCAUGCUUAUAUCUUUUCAAAUUAUCAUUUUCGUUUUCUUCAGAUAAAUACCCAGAAGUGGAAAUGCUGGAUCAUAUGGUAGUUCUCCUUUUCACUUUUUGAGGAACCUCCAUACUGUUUUCCACAGUGGCUGAACCAAUUUAUGUUCCCAACAGUGCACAAGUGUUCCCUUUCUCCACAUCCUCACAAGCACUUCUUAUCUUUUUGAUAAUAAUAACGACUCUAACAGAUGUGAGGUGAUAUCUCAUUGUGGUUUUGAUUUGCAUUUCCCUGAUGAUUAGUGAUGUUGAGCACCUUUUCAUGUACCUGUUGGCCACCUGUAUGUCUUCUUUGGAAAAAUGUUUAUUCAGGUCUUCUGCCCAUUUUUUAAUUAGAUUGUUUGGUUUUUUGCUACUGAUUUGCAUAUAUUCUUUACAUAUUUUGGAUAUUAGCCCCUUAUCAGAUAUACAAUUUGCAAAUAUUUUCACCCAUUUGAUAGGUUGUCUUUUCAUUUUGUUGAUGUGCAGAAGCUUUUUAGUUUGAUGUAGCCCCACUUGUUUAUUUUUGCUUUUGUUGCCUUUGCCUUUGGUGUCAAAUCCAAAAGGUCAUUGCCAAGACCCAUGUCAAGGAACUUACUGCCUAUGUUUUCUUCUAGGAGCUUUAUGGUAUCAGGUCUUACAUUCAAGUCUUUAACCCAUUUUGAGUUAAUUUUUGUGCAUAGUGUAAUACAGGGGUCCAGUUUCAUUCUUUUGCCUGUGGCUGCUCACUUUUCCCAACAUCUUCCCAUUUAUUGAAGAGUCUGUCCUUUCCCCAUUGUAUAUUCUUAGCUCCUUUAUCAUAAAUUAAUUGACCAUAUAUGCAUGGGUUUAUUUCAGGGCUUUCUAUUCUGUCCCAUUGACCUAUGUGUCUGUUUUUAUGCCAAUACCAUACUAUAACUUUGUAAUACCCUUUGAAAUCAGGAAGUGUGAUGCCUCCAGCUUUGUUCUUCUCAAAAUUGCUUUGGCUAUUCAGGGUCUUUUGUGGUUUUAAAAAUUUUAGGAUUGUUUUUUCUAUUUCUGUGAAAAACGUCAUUGGAAUUUUGAUAGGGAUUGCAUUGAAUCUGUAGAUUGCUUUGGGUAGUAUGGAUAUUAUAACAUUAAUUCUUCCAACCCAUGAGCACAGAAUAUCUCUCCAUUUAUGUGUAUUUUCUUUAAUUUCUUUCAUUAAUGUCUUAUAAUUUUCAGUGUACUGGCCUUUCACAUCCUUAAUUAAAUUUCUUCCUAGGUAUUUUAUUCUUUUUGAUGCAAUUGUAAAUGGGAUUGUUUUCUUAAUUUCUCUUUCUGAUAGUUCAUUAGUAGUGUAUAGAAAUGCACCAGAUUUUUGUUUAUUGAUUUUGUAUCCUGCAACUUUACUGAAUUUGUUUAUUAGUUCUAACAGUUUUUUGGUGGAGUCUUAGGGUUUUCUAUAUACAAUAUCAUUUCAUCUUCAGAUAGUGACAGUUUUACUCCUUCCUUUCCAUUUUGAUGCCUUUUAUUUCUGUUUCUUGCCUAAUUGCUCUGGCUAGGACUUCCAGUGCUGUGCUGACUAAAGUGGCAGGAGUGGGCAUCCUUGUCUUGUUCCUGAUCUUAGAGGAAAGCUUUCAGCUUUUCACCAUUUAGUAUAAUGUUAGCUGUGGGUUUGUCAUAUAUGGCCUUUAUUAUGUCGAGUUAUGUUCCCUCUAUACUCACUUUAUUGAGAGUUUUUAUCCUAAAUGGAUGUUAAAUUUUGUCAAGUGCUUUUUCUGCAUCUAUCAAGAUGAUCAUAUGAUUUUUAUCCUUCAUUUUGCUAAUUUGGUGUAUCAUAUUGAUUGAUUUGUGGAUGUUGAACCAUCCUUACAUCCCUGGAAUAAAUCCCACUUGAUCAUGGUGUAUGAUCCUUUUAAUGUAUUGUUGUAUUUGACUUGCUAAUAUUUUAUUCAGGAUUUUUGCAUCUGUGUUCAUCAGGGAUAUUGGCCUGUAAUAUUCCUUUCUUGUGGUAUCCUUGUCUGGUUUUGGUAUCAGGGUAAUUCUACUCUCACAAAAUGAGUUCAAAAGUGUUCCCUCCUCUCCUAUUUUUUGGGAGAGUUUGAGAAGAAUUGGUACAUAUUCUUCUUUAAAUGUUUGGUAAAAUUCACCAGUGAAGCCACCUGGUCUUGGACUUUUGUUUGUUGGGAGGCUUUUGAUUAUUUUGAUUCAGUCGCCUUACUAGCAAUCAGUCUGUUCAAAUUUUCUAUUUCUUCAUGAUUCAGUCUUGGUAGGUUGUAUGUUCUAGGAAUUUAUCCAUUUCUUCUAGGUUGUCCAAUUUGUUGGCAUAUAAUUGUUCCUAGUAGUCUCAUGAUCCUUUGUGUUUCUGUGGUGUCAAUUGUAAUGUCUCCUCUUUAGUUUCUGAUUUUAUUUAUUUGAGUAUCUCUCUCUCUUUUUUGUUGGUGAGUCUAACUGAAGGUUUGUCAAUUUGUUUAUCUUUUCAAAGAAAUAGAUCUUAGUUUCAUUGAUCUCUUCCAUUGUCUUUUUAGCCUCAGUUUCAUGUAUUGCCACCCUGAUGUUUGUUAUUUCCUUCCUUCUACUAACUUUGGGCUUCAUUUGUUCUUCUUUUUCUAGUUCCUUCAGGUGUAAAGUUAGGUUGUUUGCUUGAGGUUUUUCUUGUUUCUUGAUGUAUGCAUUUAUCACCAUGAAUUUCCCUCUUAGAACUGCUUUUGCUGCAUCCCAUAAGUUUUGAUAUGUUGUAUUGCCAUUUUCAUUUGUCUCAAUGUACUUUUUAAUUUUUCUUUUGAUUUCUUCUAUGACCCAUUGGUUGUUCAGUAGCAUGUUGUUUAAUCUCCACAUAUUUCUGAAUUUUCCAGUUUUCUUCUUGUAAUUGAUUUCUAGUUUCAUACCAUUGCGGUCAGAAAAGAUGCUUGAUAUGAUUUCAAUCUUCUUAAAUUUAUUAACACUUGUUUUGUGACCUAAUGUACAAUCUAUCCUGGAGAAUGUUCCACAUGCACUUGAGAGGAAUGUGUAUUCUGUUGCUUUUGGAUGGAAUGUUCUGUAAAUAUCUGUUAAGUUCAUCUGGUCUAACAUGUCAUUUAAGGCUGAUGUUUCCGUAUUGAUUUUCUGUCUGGAUGAUCUGUCCAUUGAUGUAAGUAGGGUAUUCAAGUCCCCUAAUAUUAUUGUAUUGCUGUCUAUUUCUCCAGUUAGGUCUGUUAAUAUUUGCUUUAUAUAUUUAGGUGCUCCUAUGUUGGGUGAACAAAUAUUUAUAAAUGUUAUAUCCUCUUGUUGGAUUGACCCCUUUAUCAUUAUGUAAUGUCCUUCUUUGUCUAUUAUUGUAGUCUUUGUUUUAAAGUUGAAAUUGUCUGAUAUAAGUAUAGCUACUCCUGCUUUUUUUUUUUUUUUUUUUUUUUGGUUUCCAUUUACAUAGAAUAUCUUUUUCCAUUCUUUCACUUUCAGUCUGUGUGUGUUCUUACAUCUAAAGUCAGUCUCUUGUAGGCAACAUGUAGAUGGGUCUCGUUUUUUAUCCAUUCACCACUCUGUGUCUUUUGAUUGGAAAAUUUAGCCCAUUUACAUAUAAAGUAAUUGGAGGGGGGGUGAGGAAGAUUGGCCCUGAGCUAACAUCUGUGCCACUCUUCCUCUAUUUUAUGUGGGAUGCCACCACAGCAUGGCUUGAUGAGCAGUGCCAAGUCUGCACCUGGGAUCUGAACGUGCAAACCCUGGGCCACUGAAGCAGAAAGUGUGAACUUAACCACAACACCACCAGGCCAGGCCCUAAAGUAAUGAUUAAUAAUUGUGGCGUGUGGGAUGCUGCCUCAGCGUGGUUUGAUGAGCAGUGCCAUGUCUGCGCCCAGGAUUUGAACUGACGAAACACUGGGCAGCCUGCAGCGGAGCACGCAAACUUAACCACUCAGCCAUGGGGCCGGCCCUGAGUUAGGGUUAGUAACAGUCUAUUUUAAGUUGAUAACAACGUAAGUUUGAAUGCAUGCUAAAGCUCUACACUGUUACUCUCUACCCCCACAUUUUAUGUUUUUGAUGUCACACUUUACAUCUUUUUAUCUUGUGUAUCCCUUAACUAAUUAUUGUAAUCAUAGUUAUUUUUACUACAUUUGUCUUUUAACCUUCAUACUAGCUUUAUAAGUGACUAGUCCACUAUCUUUACUAUAUAUUUACCUUUACUAGUGAAAUUUAUUCUUUCACAUGUGCUCUUGCUACUAAUUAGCACCUUUUCUUUUCAACUUAAAGAAGUCCCUUUAACAUUUCUUAUAAGGCCAGUUUAGUGGGGAUGAGCUCCUUUAGUUUUUGCUUGUCUGGAAAACUAUUUCUCUCUCCUUCAGUUCUGAGUGAAAACAUUGUCAGGUAGGGUAUUCUUGGUUGGAAGUGUUUUUCUUUCAGUUCUUUGAAUAGAUCAUGCCACUCCCCUCUGGCCUGCAGAGUUCCUGCUGAAUAAUCUGCUGAUAGGGGCUGGCCCCGUGGCCAAGUGGUUAAGUUAGCAGACUCUGCUUCAGUGGCCCAGACUUUUGCCAGUUUGGAUCCUGGGCGUGGACAUGGCACCACUCAUCAAGUAAUGGUGAGGCAUCAUCCCACAUAGCACAACCAGAGGCACUUACAACUAGAAUAUACAGCUAUGUACUGGGGGGCAGCUUUGAGGAGAAGAAGAAGAAAGGAAAAAAACAGAAGUUUAGCAACAGAUGUUAGCUCAGGUGCCAAUCUUAAAAAAAAACCUGCUGAUAGUCUUACGGGGGUUCACUUGUACAUAACAAGUUGUUCUCUUGCUGCUUUUAAGGUUUUCUUGUCUUUUUUUCUUUUUUUGAGGAAGAUUAGCCCUGAGCUAACAUCUGCUGCCAAUCCUCCUCUUUUUGCUGAGGAAGACUGGCCCUGAGCUAACAUCCAUGCCCGUCUUCCUCUACUUUAUACGUGGGACACCUGCCACAGCAUGGCUUGCUGAGUGGUGCCACGUCCACACCCGGAAUCCGAACCAGUGAACCCUGGGCCACCAAAGCAGAACAUGCCCACUUAACCACUGCGCCACCAGGCUGGCCCCUUGUCUUUAAUUUUUGACUCUUUAAUUAUAAUUGUCUUGGUGUGGGUCUUUUUGGGUUCAUCUUUUGAAACUCUCUGGGCUCCCUAGAUCUGGAUGUCUAUUUCCUUCCCCAGAUUAGGGAAGUUUUCAGCCAUUAUUUCUUCAAAUAAGUUUUCUGCCCCUUUCUCUCUCUCUUCUCCUUCUGGGACUCCUAUAAUGCAAGUGUUAGUCUGUUUGAUGUUGUCCCAUAAGUCCCUGAAGCUGGCUUCACUUUUUUUCAUUCUUUUUUCCUUUUGGUGCUCUGAUUGGGUGAGUUCCGCUGCCUUGUCUUCGAUUUCACUGGUCCUUUCUCCUGCUUCGCCUAGUCUGCUAUUGAGCCCCUCCCACGUACUCUUCAGUUCAGUUAUUGUAUUCUUCACCUCUGUGACUUCUAUUCUUACUUUCUUAUACUUUCUGUCUCUUUGUUGAAGUUCUCACUGUGUUCAUCCAUUCCUCUCACCAAGUCUUUUUAUACUCUAAUCUCAGAAGUGAAGAUCCAUCAUUUCUGCCAUUAACAGAGCAUGGGCACCAUGAGGGGCUCACUAGGGGCUUUCACAGGCUCUCAUCUUCUUUCAUGCUCUACUCUAAGCACUGCCUCUGAGCUGCUCCCAACAGCUAUACUUGCUGGGCACUUAGGAGUUGAGAAUGAAUGAACACCCCACAUCUGUGCACAUCUGCUAACAUAUGUUCAUCUCCUUCCUCUAGAUUGUUCCCCCCACUCCCACCCCACCUAAAGGUCAUCAAUUCAACUUCAAGGUGCAGAUGACACCCCAUCCCAAAGACCCCAGGGCCCCUGGCACUGGAAGUGGUCCAGAGGCUGAUACUCUUUGGACACCAGCUCAGCUCCUCACUAGGCCCUACAUUAAGUUUAUGCUAAUUUAUGUAAAUGCAUACUAUUGAGGAAGAUAACUCAUAAAGGUUGAACUUUUAGCUGGAAAAACAUUUCUAAAAUGCCAAAGACAAGAUUGAAUGCUGGGCUUGUGCAGGGGGACUUGAGAGACAGCUGGAGCUGGAGGUCCAGGGAGAGGGAUGUCCCAACCUUUCUCCUCUGCUGUCAAGGAAAGAGCUGGCACCAGAGGGGGCACCAGCAAGCUGCAGACAGUGUCGCCAGUGACCAGGCCCAAGAAAGAGCAUGGAUCUGGGCUGUAGCAACACAGAAUUCAGCCCAAGUAAGGGGUCUCUCAACAAGACAGAUGUGGCUCUGGGUUAGACAGCCACAGCCUGCAUUCCCUCUGUCACUGCAAUGUCACCCAAGCAGUAAGAAUAACUGAGCCACACAAAGCCACCGGGGCUCACAGGUGAGUAUUAUGCCAGCCACACAGGACUGUGUGAGUCCCACUGAACUCUGGCCUUACGGUUUUGUGAUUUGAAGCAAGGCCUUCGCCCCUCUGAGCCUCAUCUGCCGUGUGGCAGGCUCUCCUAAGGCUCCCGGUGAAGCACUGGGAAGAGCAGCAGGAGACUGGUAGGGCCUGCACCAUGUCACUUCCUCUCUGAACCCAGAUUCUCUGCUCUAGAGUCAGGGCCUUGAGAAUAAGAGUAUGGAGAUCCCUUCCCACCCUCAAAUCUGUGAGGUCCAAAGAGGCCCCUGCUCCCAGGAGUUAGGUGAGGCACCAGGGCCACCUGAUACCCCUUCCCAUCACGCGCCUUGUGUCAAAGAAAUGUGGAGAGUCAAGUCCCUUUCUUCUGCUCACCCCCUUAAGAGAAUCCCUGGGGCUUGGGGUACUGGGCCCAUGUGGCCGCCUGUACCUGGGUCUUCCCUCCUCCAUUACCUGGAUGACGGAGCUGCUGUGCCCUCCUGCCCCCUUUGCAUCCCUGUCCUGUCCCUAGCUGCCGCGGGAUCAGCACGCCUUCACCGCUGUCCCGGCGGGAGCUCGGCCGGUCCUCCGCAGGGGCGCCGCGCCGCCACCAGGAGGCGCUGCGCCUCCUAGAAACUCCGGACUUUGCAGACGGGGGGCGGCGCCGCCAGAACAGGGGCGUGUGAACGGAAAGCCUACGCAGAAAAGUCAUCUGCAUGGCAGUGGCCCAAAGCAGUCUUCUCCUGGACGCCGAAUUCACGGAGAGAGCCUCCUGCUCCGGGAAUGACGUACUGCUAGAAAGUUGGUUCUGACGUCGGCCCAACUCCCCGCUUCCGCGUGGCCGCGGGCGGGACUCUUGCCCGGUGCAGGCGUGGCCUUUGGGCUCGUGGGGACCAGCCUAGUUCCCAAGACUGAGUCUCGUGGGGACAGCAGGGAAUUAAAUAGGGCAGGAGGGGCUUUGGAAUCAGCCAAUUCUCUCCCCACAAGAAGCUGCACGUCCCUGAGCAAGUCACCCAGCCUCUCAGAGGCUAUUUGGCCCUGGAGACGAUAGUGCCUCCCGGAAGGGGUGUUGGAACCCUCAGAGCAGUGUGUGCAGUUGCCGCCCCCUCCAGGCGGUUUGACCCUCUCACCCCCCAUCCCCCCGCUGGUAAAUGCAGCCUUUUGAAACCACUGUUCAACUGAGAAAAAGAGUACAUAAAAUAAACUAUAGCCAACCACUAGAAUGGCUAUGAUAAACAUAUAUAUAAAAACUAAAAAAGCAAGUGUUGGUGAGAAUGUGCAGAAGUUAGAACCCUUGCACACUGCUGGGAGGAAUGUAAAAUGGUGCAGCCGCUGAGGAAAGCAGGGUAGUCCUUUCUGCGAAAGUUAAACACAGAAUGGCCAUAUGAUCCAGCACUUCCACUUCUAGGCGUGUACCCCAAAGAAUCGAAAACUCAUAUCAAUAUGCAUGCACACACAUGUUCACUGAAGCACUACAUGCAAUCGUCAAAAAGUGGAAACAGCCUAAACAUCCAUCAACUGAUGAAUGGAUAAACAAAUGAGCAUAUCCACACAAUGGAAUAUUUUGUUGGUGGUGGUGCUGUUGAGUCCGUUCUGACUCAUAGUGACCCAGUGGACAGCAGAGGGAACCCUGCCUCAUCUUUUUGUGCCAUCCUCACCUUCCAGCACUAUAUCACACAAUGCGCUGCUGCUAUUCAUAGGGUUUUCAUGGCCAAUUUUUCAGAAGUGGGUGGCCAGGUCCUUCUUCCUGGACUAUCCAAGUCUGGAAGCUCCACUGAAACCUGUCCGCCACAGGUGACCCUGCUGGUAUUUGAAAUCCUGGUGGCAGAGCUUUCAGCAUCACAGCAACACACAGCCACCACAGUAUGACAAUCAAUAGACAGGUGGUAUGGUUCCCUGAGUGGGAAAAUGAACCCAGGCCGCAGUGGUGAGAGCGCCAAUCUUAACCACUAGAACAUCAGGGCUGGCUAAUGGAAUAUUAUUCAACCAUAAAAGAAAUGAAGCACUGACACAUGCUACAACAUGGAUAAAUCUUGAAAACAACAUGCUGCAUGAAAGAAGUUAGACACAAAAAGUCACAUAUUGUAUGAAUACCCAGAAAAGGCAAAUCCACAGAGACAGAAAGCAGAUGAAUGAUUGCAGGGGUUGGAGGGGGAGGGUAACAGAAUGGGUGCUUAAUGGGUCCACGGGUUCCUUUUUGGAUGAUGAAGAUGGGAACUAAACAAUAAUAUUGGUUGCACAGUACAAAUGCGCUAAACGCCACUGAAGUGUUCCCUUUAACACAGUUAAUUUUACAUUUGUGAAUGUCACCUCGAUAAAAUAAAUAAAUGAGCCAAGCCAGCCUCAUGUGCCCAAUGCACUUGGUCAUCCAGCUGUGCCUGGACUAAUGGGAGCCCAGCUGUCCCCUGGGACACUAGCCCUACAGUCUGCUGCUCUUAGAUCUGGCACCCACAGGCCCCCUCUAUGUCCCUGAUGGCACCUUCCUCUCCACCUCACCUGCCCUCACCCAGGCCCUCCACCCUCCACCUGCUUCAUGUCUUCUGUCUCCCUUGCUUCAUCCACCCCACUUCCAGAACCCACACCCCAAUUUCAGUUGCCUAGCAGCUGCCUCUAGGCCUGCCCUUCCUCCUCCCUCACCAGCCCUGACCUGGCCUUGAAGACCCCCACCUUUCAGGCCCUCCCGCCCACAGCCUGAUGCUGGGGGUCCCUCCUCCUGUCUAAGCUGAUUUUGCCCCUGUGGCGAACUCCUCCUGGGUCUUCAACUCCUGCCUCUAAGGCAGAUCCUUGGCUCUUUAACACUUGGUCUCCCUGAUUACAGGCAGAAGGGUCAGUUUUCCAUGACUCUAAUUUCCCUCUCCUCUUGGUCUUCUCUCUGAUGCAGCUGGUCAAGCCUCUAGGGAGAGUAGUUCACACAUGUUUCUCCAGUCACUCUGUGUCCUGCCACAUCCCAAACCUCACCAGCCCCACCAUGUCUUCACAGUGGCAACUCCAAGGAGCACAUUGCUGUACUGUCUUCUUGGAAUUGACAACUCCCCUCCUCGUUAACUUCACUCUUGCCCCUUCACAGCUCUCUUGGCUUCCUCUGAGCCCUCCUUCUCCCACUCCUUAAAUGAGAAGGAGUGUUCUCAGAGUUGUCUUGGACCCCUCCUCUUUGCGGUCUACCCCUGAGGGGUGCCCACAAAUAGUUGCCUUGUAUUUAUCAGGAUGGGCAGACUUUUGGGGACACAUAACCCAGAAUCUGAGGCUCACCUCACCAUCACUGAGGUCCUUCCUGGUUCAGCCAAGUUGUAUAAGGAUCCCCUAGGCAGCUCUCUAAGCUGUGACCUGGGAGAGCCACUUCAUCCCCUCGCCUCCAUCUGUGGCCUCCAGGAUCAUGAUCAAAGGAGAGACUAUUAGGUCCAGCCAUUCCUCACCUAAAACAGUGGCCAGAAAGACGUGGGGCCAGCCUGGCUCCCUGCAGCACACUUCUCUAUGGGAGCGGAGGCAGACUUUUAGGGUCAGCUGGCCUCUGUGCCACAACCUGCAUGCGGCAUCUAUGCUCAGAUCUCUCCUCUUAUCUACAGACAGAUGGCCCAGUGCCUCCUGAGUCUGCAGCCAUCUCCCUGUUAAACACACUCAUUCUACAGUUUUUGUGCCCAGACACCCAGCCUGAAGUCUUGGGGAGCACAGGUUACGUGUGUCACCAUGUAAAGAAGCCGGGCCCACAGAAACAACUCCAGGGAGCCCCACUUUGUGGCAACUCAUCUUCCCCAUCCUAGAUGAAAUCUAAGGUAAGUCCCAAGACUUUUCUGCCGUUCUUCAGUAAUUGAAGUCUUCUGUUCCUCAAAGUCAUUUUUAAGAGUCUCAUUUCAGUUGGAAUGCCCAAUGCUGUGUAAGCAUUCAAGCUGGCCUCUUGCAGUGGGCAGAAGGGACUUGGUUCACUGUGCAAUUCCUCAGCUCUGGGAGGAUCAAGGAGGAGAGGUAAGGGGCGAAGGUCUCCCCUGAUUACAGCUUCAGGAAUCCAUAUUCUCUGGGCUCAGUGAGUGUUUGGAGCUGCCCCUUCCUCUCAUGGGACCCACAGACACACCCACUCCCACCACUAGGUAUUCACUGCCUGCAGACCCUCCUCAUGAGCCCUGGGAAUCUUGUGAUCUGCCUACCCAUGGGCCGCAUCCCCUCUCACACAGUCUGCUGGGAGAACCAAGAAGCUCCCAGGCCAGCUCUCUUUCCUGGGUGGUGAGAAAUCCUACACAUACCCUCCAUCCUGACCAGCAACCAGCCAUGGGAGUGCAGCCAUCCCCAGGGUGGAGACCACCCACGGUCCCCGCAUCUCCAGCCCACCAAGCUCGUUUAGCCUCAGAACUUCCCAGAGCCUCUCCUUCCACCUGAAGAGGGCUCCCUGUGGCUAAGUCUCAGCUCACUGUCAACAUUCAGGGCACUCUCAGUCAAAAACCAUCUCAGAGGCACUUACCCUGUUACAAUGACUCUGUCUUCACUCUCCAUGUAGGACUGUCCCGUAUUUCUCUUAUUUAUUCAUCAGUCUAUUUGUUCAUUAUUUGCCCCACUCCCCAGUGGAAUACAAGCUCCAAGCAGCAGGGACUUCCCAGUACCUAGCAGAGCCCUACAUACAACAGGAGCUCAGUAAAACCUGGUCAUCAGCAUAUGGGCUGCUAAAGCUACAUGGCAGUAGGUGUAGAGGAAAAGGAGGGUCAGAGGGGGUGCAGAAGAGAGUAGGGGACCCAACACUGAUG